rnacentral:rRNA from 1 species
GUGGGGAAUAUUGGGCAAUGGGGGAAACCCUGACCCAGCAACGCCGCGUGAAGGAAGAAGGCCCUCGGGUUGUAAACUUCUUUUACCAGGGACGAAGGAAGUGACGGUACCUGGAGAAAAAGCCACGGCUAACUACGUGCCAGCAGCCGCGGUAAUACGUAGGUGGCAAGCGUUGUCCGGAUUUACUGGGUGUAAAGGGCGUGUAGGCGGGACUGCAAGUCUGAUGUGUAAUCUGGUGGCUCAACCACCAAACUGCAUUGGAAACUGUAGUUCUUGAGUAUCGGAGAGGCAGGCGGAAUUCCUAGUGUAGCGGUGAAAUGCGUAGAUAUUAGGAAGAACACCAGUGGCGAAGGCGGCCUGCUGGACGACAACUGACGCUGAGGCGCGAAAGCGUGGGGAGCAAACAGGAUUAGAAACCCGAGUAGUCC